rnacentral:RNase_P_RNA from 1 species
GGGUCAGUACUUAGCUAACGGUAUUAUAUUAAUAAUACUGAGGAAAGUCCACCCACUUGGGUUUUUUGCCUAAUAGAUACUUGCAAAAGCAAGAUCCAGUAAUGGAUGGCAACCACUCAGAAACGAAACCUCCAUAGAAUAGUAUGAUGCUAGCGAAGUUUUUGGCAACAAAAACAAGUUGACCAGCUGACGUUUUUUAUGGGAAGGAUGAAACGGUGAGUCCUGUCUGGUGCAAGUCAAAAUGGUUGAUAUGCAACCUUAACAGACGCUUAGUUAAAUGCUAAGACAGAUGAUGGCUGCUAAUGCGGCUAAAAACAUCUGACAGAAGGUGGCUUAUUCUGACCC